GAUGAACGCUAGCUACAGGCUUAACACAUGCAAGUCGAGGGACCGGCGCACGGGUGAGUAACACGUAUCCAACCUGCCCUUUACUCGGGGAUAGCCUUUCGACAGAAAGAUUAAUACCCGAUAUAAAGGAUGGGGAUGCGUUCCAUUAGGUUGUGGGGGAGGUAACGGCCCACCAAGCCUUCGAUGGAUAGGGGUUCUGAGAGGAAGGGCCCCCACAUUGGAACGGAGACACUGUCCAAACUCCGACGGGAGGUAGCAGUGAGGAAGAUUGGGAAAUGGGCGUUAGCCUGAACCAGCCAAGUAGCGUGAAGGAUGAAGGCUUAUGGGUCGUAAACUUCUUUUAUAUAAGAAUAUGUAUGAUAUGAAUAAGGAUCGGCUAACUCCGUGCCAGCAGCCGCGGUAAUUC
rnacentral:rRNA from 1 species